GCUCUUUUAGUAUAUUUUUUGUAUUUUUUAUUGCAGAUAAAGAGGUUUUAAGGGUU
rnacentral:tRNA from 1 species